rnacentral:rRNA from 1 species
AAUCAUAGGUCAGCAUACUAUGGUGAAUACGUUCCCGGGCCUUGUACACACCGCCCGUCACACCAUGAGAGUUGAGAAUACCCGAAGUCCAUGUCAAAGUGGCCGAAGGUAGGCUUGAUGAUUGGGGUGAAGUCGUAACAAGGUAGC